UACAGAGGGGGCAAGCGUUGUUCGGAAUUACUGGGCGUAAAGGGCGCGUAGGCGGCCCGCUAAGUCGAACGUGAAAUCCCCGAGCUCAACUCGGGAACUGCGUCCGAUACUGGCGGGCUUGAAUCUGGGAGAGGGAUGCGGAAUUCCAGGUGUAGCGGUGAAAUGCGUAGAUAUCUGGAGGAACACCGGUGGCGAAGGCGGCAUCCUGGACCGGCAUUGACGCUGAGGCGCGAAAGCUAGGGGAGCAAACGGGG
rnacentral:rRNA from 1 species